GCUUCCUUGCUCCUCUCUCUCUCUCUCUAUCUGGCGAUUCCAGAUCUGGAUCUAGGGUUUUUCUCCAAGGCGAUUCAAGAUCUACCUUUCUCAUUAACAUCGGAUCGAUAAACAAAUCUCAAUGCAUUCUCCAUUCAGAUCUAGCCUUUCACCGGAGACUCGGAGAUCCCAAUCGCAGCCACCACCGCCGUUCGCAACCACCACAACCGCUCUGAACAACCACCACCGUCUAAAAAUGGUUUUUUAAGUUGGUUAGGGUCUUUUACCCUACAUACGAUAUCAGGUGAGUUUUGGUUUCGAUCGUUUAAUUUCCGGCCAUAUGAGUUUUGCUUUACGACUUUGCUUUUUGUUCUAAGCAAGUGUAUGUCUCUUCUCUAGCCUUUCUCAAGAUGCUUAAACACAACAGGUUUGAGGGUACACCAAAAAGAAGCUCAUUGUUACCAAGAACCAGGACGUAGCAAUCUAAUAAACUUUUAUGAUGCAUACGAGGACCAUGGUUAUGUCGUCCUUGUAAUGGAGUUAUGUGAAGGAGGAGUGCUUUUAGAUAGAAUACUUUCAAGGGGCAGAAAAUACACGGACUAUGAUGCUAAGGGGGUGUUAAUACAAAUGUUGAUAGUUGUUGCGUUUUGUCAUCUUCAAGGUGUGGUUCACCGGGACUUAAAGCCCGAGUUUCAUAAUGUCAAAUUGGCUAAAUUCCAAAUGCAGCUGUAUGUUACGAUGCAAAAGAGCUGAUAUUGUUGGGUCUCAGUUUUGGUCAACACUCUGCAAAAGGCACUAUCGAGAACUGGUUGCAUCAAAUUUGGCGGCAUCAUAUUGCAAAAUGGGCUGCUGGUUUUGUGGGCGUCUCGCAUAAUACUUGCCCCCGAUGGAGACGCGCCUGGUCAAGCCUUAGCUGAAGAGCUAUCAUGCCGCCUUGGAAAAGAAAGGUCUUGACGAGUCACUUGGCCAAGUAAAAAUGAAAAUGAGCGUUUUAAAGAUGCUAAUGAGGUUCUCAUGUUCAUGGGCCCAGCUGUAUUGAGGGAACUUAUUGAGUCUGCUGAAUUGUACCCUAUUAAAGGGUUACUCAACUUCAGAUAUUACUUCAGUGAAAUUGAUGCAUAUUACCAUCAAACCCUUGGUAUGGAGCAUUUCAACCGGAUGGAAAGCAUUGGAGGAUUUAUAUAAUGUUGUGCCGGGAGAGUUGAACGUAGUCACCGGAGUACUCAAUUCAGGAAAGACUGAGUGGAUUGAUGCAUUGUUAUGUAAUCUUAAUCGAAGCGUUGGUUGGAAGUUUGCACUCUGCUCAUUGACAACAUUAAAGAAUAUAAUAAAUGUUAUCAUAUAAGUUACAUGUAUAGCACACUGAUAAGUGGUUGUAUUUUUGAUUCCCUACCACUGGUCAACAUGUUUAUCAAGGAACUCGGUUGCGUUUCAUAUUAUAUUCAGAC